ensembl:snRNA U6 U6 spliceosomal RNA
GUGCUCACUUAGGUAGCACAUAUACAAAAAUGGAAAGAUACAGAGAUGAGCAUGGCCCCUGGACAGCGAUGACACAAUGAUAAUUUUAUGUAUUUCACAUAAUA